rnacentral:rRNA from 1 species
UACGUAGGGGGCAAGCGUUGUCCGGAUUUAUUGGGCGUAAAGAGCGUGUAGGCGGCCGUACAGGUCAGCUGUGAAAACUCGAGGCUCAACCUCGAGACGUCGGUUGAAACCGUACGGCUAGAGUCCGGAAGAGGAGAGUGGAAUUCCCGGUGUAGCGGUGAAAUGCGCAGAUAUCGGGAAGAACACCCGUGGCGAAGGCGGCUCUCUGGGACGGUACUGACGCUGAGACACGAAAGCGUGGGUAGCAAACAGG